GUACACUCCUACGGGAGGCAGCAGUGGGGAAUAUCGCACAAUGGGCGCAAGCCUGAUGCAGCCAUGCCGCGUGUAUGAAGAAGGCCUUCGGGUUGUAAAGUACUUUCAGCGGGGAGGAAGGCGAUAAGGUUAAUAACCUUGUCGAUUGACGUUACCCGCAGAAGAAGCACCGGCUAACUCCGUGCCAGCAGCCGCGGUAAUACGGAGGGUGCAAGCGUUAAUCGGAAUUACUGGGCGUAAAGCGCACGCAGGCGGUCUGUCAAGUCGGAUGUGAAAUCCCCGGGCUCAACCUGGGAACUGCAUUCGAAACUGGCAGGCUAGAGUCUUGUAGAGGGGGGUAGAAUUCCAGGUGUAGCGGUGAAAUGCGUAGAGAUCUGGAGGAAUACCGGUGGCGAAGGCGGCCCCCUGGACAAAGACUGACGCUCAGGUGCGAAAGCGUGGGGAGCAAACAGGAUUAGAAACCCCGGUAGUCCCAUGAU
rnacentral:rRNA from 1 species